GAUGAACGCUAGCGACAGGCCUAACACAUGCAAGUCGAGGGGCAGCACGGUGUAGCAAUACACGGGUGGCGACCGGCGCACGGGUGAGUAACGCGUAUGCAACCUGCCUACUACAAGGGGAUAACCCGUUGAAAGACGGACUAAUACCCUAUAACACAGGGAAUCCGCAUGGAUAUAUUUGUUAAAGAUUUAUCGGUAGUAGAUGGGCAUGCGUUCCAUUAGCUUGUUGGUGAGGUAACGGCUCACCAAGGCAACGAUGGAUAGGGGAACUGAGAGGUUGAUCCCCCACACUGGAACUGAGACACGGUCCAGACUCCUACGGGAGGCAGCAGUGAGGAAUAUUGGUCAAUGGACGAGAGUCUGAACCAGCCAAGUCGCGUGAAGGAAGACGGCCCUACGGGUUGUAAACUUCUUUUGUAAGGGAAUAAAUAGUCUUACGUGCUAAGACGUUGCAGGUACCUUACGAAUAAGGAUCGGCUAACUCCGUGCCAGCAGCCGCGGUAAUACGGAGGAUCCGAGCGUUAUCCGGAUUUAUUGGGUUUAAAGGGUGCGCAGGCGGCAUGUUAAGUCGGCGGUGAAAUUUUGCAGCUCAACUGUAAAAGAGCCUUCGAAACUGGCAAGCUUGAGUGUGGAUGAAGUAGGCGGAAUUUGUGGUGUAGCGGUGAAAUGCAUAGAUAUCACAAAGAACACCGAUUGCGCAGGCAGCUUACUAAACCAUAACUGACGCUCAUGCACGAAGGCGUGGGGAUCAAACAGGAUUAGAUACCCUGGUAGUCCACGCAGUAAACGAUGAUUACUGGCUGUUUGCGAUACAAUGUAAGCGGCUGAGCGAAAGCGUUAAGUAAUCCACCUGGGGAGUACGUUCGCAAGAAUGAAACUCAAAGGAAUUGACGGGGGCCCGCACAAGCGGAGGAACAUGUGGUUUAAUUCGAUGAUACGCGAGGAACCUUACCCGGGCUUGAAAUGCAUCUGACGUAUUCGGAAACGGAUAUUCCCUACGGGGCAGAUGUGUAGGUGCUGCAUGGUUGUCGUCAGCUCGUGCCGUGAGGUGUCGGCUUAAGUGCCAU
rnacentral:rRNA from 1 species